rnacentral:misc_RNA from 1 species
GAUGAAGAACGUAGCGAAAUGCGAUACGUAGUGUGAAUUGCAGAAUUCCGUGAAUCAUCGAAUCUUUGAACGCACAUUGCGCCCCCUGGUAUUCCGGGGGGCAUGCCUGUCCGAGCGUCAUUACAACCCUCAAGCUCAGCUUGGUGUUGGGCCCCGCCGCCCCGGCGGGCCCUAAAGUCAGUGGCGGUGCCGUCCGGCUCCGAGCGUAGUAAUUCUUCUCGCUCUGGAGGUCCGGUCGUGUGCUCGCCAGCAACCCCCAAUUUUUUUCAGGUUGACCUCGGAUCAGGUAGGGAUACCCGCUGAACUUAAGCAUAUCAAUAAGCGGAGGA